rnacentral:tRNA from 1 species
GGGCGGAUAGCUCAGUUGGUUAGAGCACACGGUUGACAUCCGUGAGGUCGCAGGUUCGAGCCCUGUUUCGCCCA